GAGUUUGAUCAUGGCUCAGAUUGAACGCUGGCGGCAGGCUUAACACAUGCAAGUCGAGCGGCAGCACGGGGAGCUUGCUCCCUGGUGGCGAGCGGCGGACGGGUGAGUAAUGCAUAGGAAUCUGCCCGGUAGUGGGGGAUAACCUGGGGAAACCCAGGCUAAUACCGCAUACGUCCUACGGGAGAAAGCGGGGGCUCUUCGGACCUCGCGCUAUCGGAUGAGCCUAUGUCGGAUUAGCUUGUUGGUGAGGUAACGGCUCACCAAGGCGACGAUCCGUAGCUGGUCUGAGAGGAUGAUCAGCCACACCGGGACUGAGACACGGCCCGGACUCCUACGGGAGGCAGCAGUGGGGAAUAUUGGACAAUGGGCGAAAGCCUGAUCCAGCCAUGCCGCGUGUGUGAAGAAGGCUUUCGGGUUGUAAAGCACUUUCAGCGAGGAAGAAAGCCUGCCGGUGAAUACCCGGCAGGGACGACAUCACUCGCAGAAGAAGCACCGGCUAACUCCGUGCUAGCAGCCGCGGUAAUACGGAGGGUGCGAGCGUUAAUCGGAAUUACUGGGCGUAAAGCGCGCGUAGGUGGCUUGGCACGCCAGGUGUGAAAGCCCCGGGCUCAACCUGGGAACGGCAUCUGGAACGGCCAGGCUAGAGUGCAGGAGAGGAAGGUGGAAUUCCCGGUGUAGCGGUGAAAUGCGUAGAGAUCGGGAGGAAUACCAGUGGCGAAGGCGGCCUUCUGACCUGACACUGACACUGANGUGCGAAAGCGUGGGUAGCAAACAGGAUUAGAUACCCUGGUAGUCCACGCCGUAAACGAUGUCGACUAGCCGUUGGGACCUUUAAGGACUUAGUGGCGCAAUUAACGCGAU
rnacentral:rRNA from 1 species